CUUAUACAUGCAAGUCGUACGAGGGCUUUUAGCCUUAGUGGCGGACGGGUGAGUAACACGUGAGAAUCUGCCCUUAGGAGGAGGAUAACAGCUGGAAACGGUUGCUAAUACUCCAUAUGCCGAGAGGUGAAAGGAUUUAUCCACCUAAGGAGGAGCUCGCGUCUGAUUAGCUAGUUGGUAGGGUAAUGGCCUACCAAGGCGACGAUCAGUAGCUGGUUUGAGAGGAUGAUCAGCCACACUGGGACUGAGACACGGCCCAGACUCCUACGGGAGGCAGCAGUAGGGAAUUUUCCGCAAUGGGCGAAAGCCUGACGGAGCAAUACCGCGUGAGGGAUGACGGCCUGUGGGUUGUAAACCUCUUUUCUCAAGGAAGAAGUUCUGACGGUACUUGAGGAAUAAGCAUCGGCUGACUCUGUGCCAGCAGCCGCGGUAAUACAGAGGAUGCAAGCGUUAUCCGGAAUCACUGGGCAUAAAGCGUCUGUAGGUGGUUUGGUAAGUCUGCUGUUAAAGACUGGGGCUCAACCCCAGAAAAGCAGUGGAAACUGCCAGACUUGAGUGUGGUAGAGGUAGAGGGAAUUCCUAGUGUAGCGGUGAAAUGCGUAGAUAUUAGGAAGAACACCAAUGGCGAAGGCACUCUACUGGACCAUAACUGACACUGAGAGACGACAGCUAGGGGAGCAAAUGGGAUAGAUACCCCAGUAGUCCUAGCCGUAAACGAUGGAUACUAGAUGUUGCACGUAUUAACCCGUGCAGUAUCGUAGCUAAGGCGUUAAGUAUCCCGCCUGGGAAGUACGCUCGCAAGAGUGAAACUCANAGGAAUUGACGGGGGCCCGCACAAGCGGUGGAGUAUGUGGUUUAAUUCGAUGNCACGCGAAGAACCUUACCAGGGCUUGACAUGUCACAAAUCUUUCUGAAAGGAAAGAGUGCCUU
rnacentral:rRNA from 1 species